rnacentral:tRNA from 1 species
AGAGAAAUACUCAAGUGGUCGAAGAGGCAAACUUGGAAGGUUUGUAGGUCCUAAAGACGCCAGGGUUCGAAUCCCUGUUUCUCUGCCA